GUUUGCACCUGCACACAUGCUGAUACAGCCCAGCCACCCUGGAGUCACGUCUAGCACUCUCUCUGGGUUAUCUUGCACAGGUGUGGCAUUAGCAAGGAUUGCUGUUCUCCAACAGCUGUCAGAUCUUGUGUUAAGCUUUAGGAAGUUUACUAUUUUCACCAUGGAAGGAAAUGAGCCACCACAAAAGAGGUCAUCUGAUAGCAUCCUAUUCUUUCCCUUCUUCCUUCUGCCCCUAGAAUGCAAGUUUCUUCAAAACGGACCUAUCCUGCUACGCCAGACCACCGCCUGACGAGCCGCCUCAGGAGGAUGGGC